rnacentral:lncRNA from 1 species
CUUGACUUCCAAGGUUGGACUGGAGCUGGGAUCAGGUCCUGAUUGAACCCUUCGGUCCCCAGUACCCAAGUGUAGAGGCCGUGGAGCCGCAUGGUCCUGGUAACUGCGCUGUGUGACUCCUCUGUGGUCCCCUCCUGACCUGAGAAAGUGGUGCAGACAUCCCCCGCGUCAUCUGGUCGUUGGGAGCGCAGAGCCUGACCCGCGGAUUGCUGAGGCAGUGAAUUGGAGCGGCUAUGUAGUGCUUGCAACCAGUUACCGUAUUUCCCUGAAAGAAUCACCACCAACCAGCUCUUCCAGAAUUUAUGAGGUGCUUCCCUUAUCACCAGCCAUCUCACGCACACGUAGUUUUCCAGGAGGCCAUUAGUGUCAAGAAGGAGACAUUCCCUGUGGCAGGAAGAGGGUGUGUCCUGGUGGGCAGGUUAGAGUCGGAGGCCUCUGGGUUUUCUGCCAGGGAGGCUCCCCGAGGCCCAGAGGCAGAAGUGCUGCUGCCUGGACCAGCUAGUGCAGAUCCGUAGGAGACCUCACCCCCAUGGGGACGGCACAGAAGGUGAGGAGCCAGCAUGGGAGGGCUGGGCUGGUGAGGAGUUGACAGUGAGGAGGAGGCGAG